UUAUAUGUAUCUUUAAAGUCAUUAUUUCGAGAGAGCUAUAGCUAAAAUUAAAAGUAGUUACCCAAAGAAUAAAGAUUUGUUAUGAAAUGUUGUGAAUAGAUAUUCUUAUAAUAUAACAUUAUAAUUACAUAUAUACAGGCUAAUUUUGGUAAUUAAAUAAGACUAAUUCUCUUUCACAUAAAGUUAGGAAAAUUAUAAAUGGAAGAAAAUUUGCCAUUGUUUAAUUGGUUUAUGGUCCAUAGACUUAUACCGACAGAUUGUGCACUUCAGAAAAGAAAUUGAAGUUGGGAUAAGAAGAAAAGGACAACAGUCAUGGUCAUAGUCUCUUUUUCUAACAUAUAACUCUUUUCCUUCGUGAAAGCUGAGCGAAAGAGCAUCACCAAAGGAUUAUCUGCACUUUCCAAUGUCGGUUUCAGCUCUUCUGAAUAUGCAAUUUGCAAAUAUAUUUUAUACAAAAAAGAUCAUAUCAUGGACCUAUACGUACACAGUAUAGAAUUAAAAUAUGAAUUAUAUCUGAGAUCUAAAAAUUAAAAGGACAGAGCAUAAAGCUUCAUUAUUGACGAGGGGACCAAGGUAAUCAAUCGAAAGAGGAAUCGUGGUGGACGAUUUGUGAUUAAUGGAGUAGUACGCAUGCCCUACACUUUAUUUUAAAUAGAUGCAGAAUUACGAUUUUUUUUA